AAGCAUGUAUAUAGAUCCAAUCUAACUAAGCCAAGUACAUAACUAUGAUAAACCAAGAACAAUAUAAUCUUGAAUAUAAGCAAUUAGAGAAUUACCAAGAAUCCUCCUGACAGAUCCGGAAACCAAUCAAAGAUUGACUCCUUCUAGUUCUAAUCCUAUGUAGCUAUGCUAAUCUAGAUAUCUAAUUGAUGUGGUGGCUCUAAUCUUGAUCAGAGGCUUCUUCUCCCUUGAAGAACAAUGAAUUAGGGUUGAGAGGCUCUCUCCUCCAGGGGCCAGGGGGUCUGGUUUUAUAGUCCCUUCAAGUGAAUAUGGGCCGUUGGAUCAAACCGACAUAGAUUGUAUGGUUUAGAUUCAUCCUUUAGGUCGGUGGAGAUCUCCCACGAAGCAGAGUCCUGAUUGGACUCCCAGAGGGGGCGGGCGCCCUGCCUCUGGCCCCGUUUCGCCUCCGCUUCGGUCUCGUGGCUUCUGGAGUCUUCUAGAUGUAAGAUAAUUGCGCUGCACGUUAAUAUCUCUAUGUAAUCCCGACGUGUGGGCCUUUCUUCCGUAUCUCCUGAUAACCCCCCUGCAGAAAUAGACAAACACCAAAAUUCGUGGAAUUCUGUCAGAUAAAACCCUAAGUCUAGAUGUUGAUUUCAUUUGGAUCCUUUUCUUUAUUUAUUUGAUAAUUAAAUUUGAUACUUAAGGACCGUCAACAAACUCCCCCAAGCUUACCUCUUGCUCGUCCCUGAGCAAGGAUAGACUCAGCUAUGGAUCAUAAGUUGUUGCAAUAUUUUAAAAAUUGAUGGUACACAUGCUUUUUAAAUAAGAUCUUAUCUCUGAGUUAGAGUAAACUGUCAAGACUUAAAACUUACUUACUUUACCUUCACCAUGGGACUUGUAACUGUCACUUCUGUCUUGAGUGGUUAAAAGAUAGAACAGUCUAGCCAAGUGCCAUGUCUUUUAUUCUUGAUCAGCUAUAGCUCUGGGGUUUUUUCAGAUUUUCAAAUAAAACUCAGAGAUUCCUUGUAUGAUUCUGUCAGAUCUCUCUUUUGUGGUAUUUCUGGAUCCUUACCAAGGCAGUGAUGGUAUAUGCCUUCUCUCAAGAUAUGUAGUAUUUGUGGUAUAAAGCAUAGUGACAUUGCCUUCUCUCUCACCCUACUCUAAUAAGGCUUUAAUAUCUGGAGCUCAUAGGUGGGAGAUAAAGUAUACAUACUUACAAGACAUUUAUUGCAUAGUCAAACCAUGGAUCCAAAGAAACAAAUCAAUAAGUUUAAUCAAGAUGUGCAUGUGUGGCGAAUGAAUGGUGUAUGGUGAUAAUGGUGAUAACAAUGGUGGAAACAAUGGUGGUGGAAGUCUAAUUCUACUUUGCUCUUUGAGGGGAUACAUACCUUCCUUGCUUUUUGAAACUUUGUGAGGAGAAUGAGAUGCUCUUCUUUUUCUUUCCUCUCAGGUGGGUAUCUUGUACCCCUAAUUCUACUGUCGGACACUUGUCCAUUUUUACCUCUCGUCUCACUUUUUCUUUUUCUUUCGAGGUUCCGAGCACUUGCUCCUUUUUAUUUCCUCGUAUUUAUUUUUUUUCUCUUUUUUUAUAAGCACUCAUCUCUUGAGAUAAUAUAGCAAGUGGUAGUAACAAAAUAACUUGAGCAUUUAUUUCACAAGGGAAAAACAGAGAUAUUUUUGGCUAUUCUCUCCCGGAUUAGAAGUACAAUAUUUUUAGGGUGAUUCUGGAGAUGGAAAUGGGUGGAUAUAUGUGGAUGGUACUUCCGGAAUAGAAGUAGCAUAUAUGAGUGAACGUGCAAGUGAAAUCUUGAUUUAACCACAUGACAAGCUCCUAACGGUCUACACAGCUUGACCACACUCAAUGCUCAUAAGCAGUAAAUAGUAAAUGUGUGGCUCAAAGUCUAGCAAGCAUGUAUAUAUGGCUGUGGUAGGAAUUUAAACUCUCAUCAUACAGGAACUCAUCAUGCAAUAUUUUAAAGAUUUUCAAAGAUAAAAUUCUUUAGAAUUCUAGCAUCUCUAGAAAUAGAUAAACAGCAGCUUGUUGACGGUCCUUAAGUAUCAAAUUUAAUUAUUAAAUAAACAAAGAAAAGGAUCCAAAUGAAAUCAACAUCAAGACUUAGGGUUUUAUCUGACAGAAUUCCACGAGUUUUGGUGUUUGUCUAUUUCUGCAGGGGUUAUCAGGAAAUAAGGAAGAUAGGCCCACACGUCGGGAUUACAUAGAGAUAUCAACGUGCCGCACAAUUAUCUUACAUCUAGAAGACUCCAGAAGCCACGGGAAGGAAGCGGAGACCGAACGGAGUCAGGGACAGGGCGCCCGCCCACCUUUUUCGGCCAAUCACGCUCAAUCUCGCGGAUUAUGCUCCACCGACCUAAAGGAUCAAGAAUAGUCGUUCAAUCAAUGUCGGUUUGAUUCGACGGCCCAGGUUCACUUGAGGGGACUAUAAAACCAGACCCCGUGGCCCCUGGAGGAGGCAACCCCUUGAUCAUUAUUCAUUAUUCAUAGACAGAGCAAAAGCUAGGGUUUAGAGAUGAGAGCUCUCCUCUCUUCUCUAAACUAGAGUAGAUCUAGAUAGUAGCGAGAUGGAGAGCGAAGGAGGAUUAGAGGAGAGGCCGACCUCUCGGUUCUUCCUCCGGUUGUACUUCGCCAUGAUCAAGCUCUAAUCAAGCUUGCUCAUGGGAUGACUCUGGUAAUCUACUUCUAAUUCAUUAUGCAAUUACUAAUCAUGUAUGUUCUGGUUCACAACUCUUUUGAGUACUUCUAAUCUAUAGGACCAUAUAGGUUAGAGUUGUAGUAUAGGUGUAAGCGUGGUGCUUAGACCUAGAUUACUUGUGGAUAUCCCCUGACUAGCUGGAUCGUGUGGUAGGCCGCGUAGGUGACAGUUACGUUGGUCCCCUGUAGUCCACCUCUCGUUAACAGGACGGGUAGGGUUUAUCGGCCUAUGGAUAAGCAUCCUUUGUGGUGUACUCUUAUCACGUGGUUCGUCCCAGACAUAGACAUACCCCUUUGAAGUAGAGAAACCAUAGUUAUCCUCUCUAUUCUGCUACCAUCGCCCAUAUACUAGAAUUGCUCUAUUCUCUAUUCCCAUAUUAUCACUCACUGUUAUCUUACCUUUAAUAUUGUUCUUAUUCGAUUCUAUCAACUUUCCUAUUUACACCUAUCUAUCUAUCUUGGUUAAGUUAGAGCGUAGUUGGUUCUCCCGUUUCCCUGUGGAUACGAUAAAACCUUUAACCGGGUAAAAGCUUCAACGGUAUCCGUGCGCUUGCGGAUUAUCUGUGUGCGUAUAAAUACCAUAGUACACUCUAGUGCCAUGCUG
rnacentral:lncRNA from 1 species